CUUGGUGAGUAUAGCUAUGGGGGUACACCUAGACACAUUCCGAACCUAGAAGUUAAGCCCAUAUACGCAGAAAGUACUUGGUUGGAAGCGACCCGGGAGGAUAUGUAUUUGCCAAGC
rfam:Fusobacterium necrophorum subsp. funduliforme 1_1_36S genomic scaffold supercont1.8, whole genome shotgun sequence.